UACAGUGGGAACCAGUCCUUGGGCAGUUU
rnacentral:piRNA from 1 species